CCCUUAGAUGUUCUGGGCCGCACGCGCGCUACAAUGGUCUUCGCAAACGGAUGCAUUCUCGAAGGAGAAUGCCAAUCUUGGAAUCUAUGCCUUGGUCGGGACAGUUGCUUGCAAUUUUUCGACUCGAACCAGGAAUUCCUUGUAAUCGUGAUUCAUCACAUCACGAUGAAUACGUCCCUGCCCUUUGUACACACCGCCCGUCGCUCCUACCGAUCGAAGAGGUAGGUGAAUUGUUUUGAUCGAUAAGAUUUGACUAUGGUCAACUCUCGUUGUGAAAUUCUGUGAAUCUGACUGUUUAGAGGAAGGAAAAGUCGUAACA
rnacentral:rRNA from 1 species